CCUACGGGAGGCAGCAGUGGGGAAUAUUGCACAAUGGGCGAAAGCCUGAUGCAGCAACGCCGCGUGAGCGAUGAAGGCUUUCGGGUCGUAAAGCUCUGUUCUCAAGGAAGAAAAUGACGGUACUUGACUAGGAAUCCCCGGCAAACUACGAGCAAGCAGCCGCGGUAAUACGUGGGGGGCUAGCGUUAUCCGGAAUUACUGGGCGUAAAGGGUGCGUAGGUGGUUUCUUAAGUCAGAGGUGAAAGGCUACGCCUAAACCGUAGUAAGCCUUUGAAACUGGGGAACUUGAGUGCAGAAGAGGAGAGUGGAAUUCCUAGUGUAGCGGUGAAAUGCGUAGAUAUUAGGAAGAACACCAGUUGCGAAGGCGGCUCUCUGGACUGUAACUGACACUGAGGCACGAAAGCGUGGGGAGCAAACAGGAUUAGAUACCCUGGUAGUC
rnacentral:rRNA from 1 species